CAGCAGUAGCCACGGUAAUACGUAGGUGGCAAGCGUUGUCCGGAAUUAUUGGGCGUAAAGGGCUCGCAGGCGGUUUCUUAAGUCUGAUGUGAAAGCCCCCGGCUCAACCGGGGAGGGUCAUUGGAAACUGGGAAACUUGAGUGCAGAAGAGGAGAGUGGAAUUCCACGUGUAGCGGUGAAAUGCGUAGAGAUGUGGAGGAACACCAGUGGCGAAGGCGACUCUCUGGUCUGUAACUGACGCUGAGGAGCGAAAGCGUGGGGAGCGAACAGGAUUAGAUACCCCUGUAGUCCCUGUCUCUUAUAA
rnacentral:rRNA from 1 species